UACGUAGGGUGCGAGCGUUAAUCGGAAUUACUGGACGUAAAGCGUGCGCAGGCGGUGAUGUAAGACAGGUGUGAAAUCCCAGGGCUUAACCUUGGAACUGCAUUUGUGACUGCAUCGCUGGAGUGCGGCAGAGGGGGAUGGAAUUCCGCGUGUAGCAGUGAAAUGCGUAGAUAUGCGGAGGAACACCGAUGGCGAAGGCAAUCCCCUGGGCCUGCACUGACGCUGAGGAGCGAAAGCGUGGGGAGCAAACAGG
rnacentral:rRNA from 1 species